rnacentral:lncRNA from 1 species
UUUUUAACUGCCUAGCAGGACAAGAGGCCAUAUGCAGUUUUCCCCUUGGCUGAUCUUUUCUUCUUGUGGCUUAUUCCACAAACAAGAUGCAGAAUGGCAUAUACAGAACCCUGCAACGGCCCAGCCUCAUCACAAGAGAGGAACAGACCAUAGAGGGGUGGGGCAGAAAGAGGAAUGAUUUUUUUUUAACUGCGCCUUUUAAACUGCGAAGCAGCUAAGCUCCAUAUAUACAGAAGAGCCCCAUGGAAGUCUGGGUGUAUAUAGGGUUAUGUUUUCCAGAAUGGCUUGGUUUCCUGAAGCCUACUUUGCAAUUGUUGAAGUGAUUUGCCCACUCUAGAGAAGGUAUAUGAAGUGGAAAUGGAAUAUGAAGAGAUAUUCGUACAAGGGAACAAGAUGGAGUCUCACUCUGUUGCCCAGGCUGGGGUGCAGUGGUUUGAUCUUGGCUCACUGCAACUUCUGCCUCCUGGAUUCAAGCAAUUUUCCUGCCUCAGCCUCCCGAGUAGCUGGGAUUACAGGAACCCACCACCACGCCUGGCUAAUUUUUUUUUUUUUUAUUUUCAGUAGGGACAGGGUUUCACCAUGUUGCCCAGGCUGGCUUCAAACUCCUAACCUCAAGUGAUCUGCCUGCCUCAGCCUCCCAAAGUCCAAGGAUUACAGGCAUGAUCCACAGUGCCCACCCAUUAACAAAGUCUUUCUUAACAAAAUCUGCUGGCGGGGAGGGUGAGGGUGCCUAAAAUGAAGAGGUUUGAGGGGUAGGAGGGAUGCAGAUCUGUGAUUAGGCCAGGUUAGGACUAAAGGAGGGGUCCCUGGGCCAGCCCUCAGGACUGGAGAACCCCUGAGAUAGACAGGACAAUGCCCCAUCACCCUUAUGCCAAACACACCUGGAGGAUCUGAGUGUUGUCCUUCUCCUUGACUAUUGAGGAAGGAGAACUAGUCCCCUGAGAAACAGAUAAAAGAGGUCAGUAUCCUGGAUUGCAUCCUUAGACUACCAGUACUAUUUUAUCAUCUACUAAUUAAUUCUCUGGGCUGUAGAAUGUGUCUUUUCCAUUAUCAGCUACAAGUUUAGUUUCAUAUGUGGGUACUUACGAAUAUGUAUAAAAGGGAAUCAGUGUUUAAGUACAUUCUUGUACCUGAUGCUUUAUUUUCAUUUCCUUAUUGAAUCUCCUCUACACCUGCGUGUAGUUGUAUUCUUACCCAUCUAUUGUAUGUGAGAGAAACAAAACUCAAAAAGGCCAAGUAGCACACUUAUGCAAAGGAACACACUUGUGAAAAACUGGUCUGGCAUUCAAAUUUAGGUCAGAUUCCAAAGCCCCUGCUCUUUCUACAACAUCGUGGAGGCUGGUGAGAUGUAGAUUUCCUCACAAGCUGAGGAGAUUGAAUUUGGCAUUGAAUAGCGUCAUCCAAAUUCUUACCUCUGAAAAUAGUUUUGGCAGCUCCUCAAGUAACUGCUUUGUAUUUUGUUGCCUAACAUUCAUUUCUGUUUGAUAACAUUUCCAAUAUUUAAAUACAUUGAAGAUUUUGUUGAUCUGCUGACAUUUAAAUUAGUUUUUGCAUCUUUCCUUCUGACAAUUUUAGGUCAUUGAAUUUCAGAACAGAGUCAUGAUUAUAAAAAAAGAGUUUCCACCAUAUGUAAAAAGACUAUGAUGUUAUACACAGAAAAAAAGGCCAAAGAUGAAAGUUCUGAAACUAUAUACUUCUCAGAGAGGAAUCCAACAAACGCCUUUGCCAAAUCAUGUUGGGAGCUGGUUACAAUGCAGAAUCUUGAACCCCACCCUAGAGAUACAGAUCUGGACAUGGGACCCUAUUACCUACGUUUUCAACACAAAAGUUUAGGAAUCACCACUAUAAACAAUGCACUGUGAAAUAAGUUAUAUUGUAAAGACCCAAACCUUGGAAGUUUUUAUACCCUGAGAGUUCCAAGGAGUGCCACUUCCAGUUCCA